CAACUGACAGACGUUUGUCAAUGUAACUGUGCUUUCUCUAGGUCACUGCCAACAUUGCUCGAGAUGUGUUUCCACCCACAAUGUUUGAGCUGUCUUACUUGUAUGUGAUAAUGUUCUUCUAUCGGGAGUUGGUUAGUGGUGUUUGGAAUCCUUGAAAUAUACUACUUCUCUCUAUUUUCCUUCCCCAUCAGUGUUUCUAUGGAUCCCAGAGCCCUUCAAUAGAGCUGAUCUCGACAGAACAUCACUGCAGGGCACAGAUGACCACUGCGUAUCCAUCUUGUCUAAAUGAAAGCUGAAUCUUAUGAUGCUGACCUCACUCCUGGAUUGGUUCAUUCAGACCACCGUAGAAGGUCCAAGAAGACACAUUUCUUAAAGCUGUAUCACAUCUAAAAAUCCAGUUUGAAUUCUUCAGAGAUAUGGAAAAAAAAAGGACAUAAUUGGAUUAAAUGGCUGUUGAAGAUGGAGUAUAUUUUGUCUACCCUAUGACAGCUAAAUGGGAAGGUUUAACAUGGUGCAUUAAAUCUUGAUAGAUAUACAACUACUUGAAACGAUAUACUUAUAAAUAUCUGUAUGCCGCACAAACAGUUCUGCUUGUUUUAGGGUUAUAGAAGCAGCUUGUUUCUGUGCUUUCUCCCAUUGUGACAUCUGUGAGCAGAUGACUCUGUUAGCUCUGCGUAUGUCACUUCUAGCAAUGUCGAAAUGCUACUCAUCAGAACCUGUGCUUUCAAAGCCUGAGGCUUCAGAAAUUAUUUAACAGUUAAACAAAAGGUACAGUAAAUUAUUUUCACACAAUACACAACAACUCUUUAAAGACAAACGCAUCUCAUUAAUGCUUCAAGUUCCUCCGCUGAAUGUGUUUCUCCCUGCAAUGAAAAUUUCAAAACAUCCAAUCAUGUUUUUCUGAGUGGCAUUUUAACAUCGUCUUAAGUGCCCUUGAGGUUAUCAGCACAGCUCAGACUGAAUUUUAAAAUUCAAUUUUCUUAUUGACUACGAAUGAAACAAUAUCAUUUUGAAGAACGGGGAAAGCAGAAUCGUCUAUAGGCUUAAGAUUUUACAUGCAUUUCCACUGAUGCAAUAAAACUAUAAUUGUUUUUAUUGUCGUCCAUAAACACAUCUCUUUCGUCUUUUUACUGCCAAUUUCACUCAGCUGUUGUCAGCCAAUCUAGCAGUUCUCUCUGUCAUCAUCUCUCUGUUAUGUGCUGAUGGAGAGAAUAAAGUGAUAAAAUGAUUUUAUUUCAUUUAUUUUUCGAUCACUUAGCAGACCGGGUAAUCAGAUUCUGUCACUCUGCCACCAAUAAUAUGAACUCCUAUGAACCACAUUCAAAUUAAAACUCCUUAUGAUAAUGCUACAGUAAGAGAACAUGUCCUGUUAAAGGGGUGGUUUACUGCUUUUUUUCUUUGCAUGAUUGUGUUUAUGGGGUGUAAUAUAACAUGUAUUUGUGGUUUUUCUUUUUUUUUCAUAAAUAUAGAAAAAAAGUCUUAUAUAAUAAGACUUUUUCAUAAGUCUUAUUUUUCAUAAAUUUCACCUUUAUUGUAAGCUGCUUUCUCCUCUGUCAUUUGAACAACCAAUUGACUUCCUGAGUCUAUGAAACCACUCCCUCAGAAACAGGCAGUGGGCUCAGAUUGGUUAGUUUGGGCGAAUUUGCAUGUGUUGUUCACAUGUGUUGUUCAUGUCAAAUGUAAAUAGUGGUGUUGAUACUGCAGUAUCAGUAUGAGCCAGCAUCAGACCGAGAAAGCGACGAUGA